rnacentral:lncRNA from 1 species
CAGCUUCAGUUGAACCAAUAGUUGCAGGAGGAGCAGGAAGUAGUAACUGAUGCUGAAUCUGGUCCAAACAGAAAGUGUUUUUUUUUAGUGAAGCAGCAAUCAAAAGAAAAAUAUGAUAUGCCUUUGUAUAUAUGCCAUAGAUAUUUUGGGUUAAACUCAUCUGAAUUCCUAAAAGCAUUAAAACCAGAUAAUGGAUUCUAAUUUUCCCAAAUAAGCUAAUUUGAUUAUAGAGAGAAAUGAAUCAAGCUAAAAAAUGAAUGUUAUCUGCCAUAAUACGGCUACUUGCUAUAUUAUGCCAUGAUACAAGCAAAUAACAUAAUUAUAACAUGAAAACAGAAAUAUUGCAUAUUGUAUAUAAUACAAAUUAUUUAUGUAUCAAAUUUUAUAAGAAUAUAAAAUAAUUUAAACAUGACCACAUCAUGAGAAAAACGAAUGAACACAGAUGGGUACAAAAGUUGCCAGGUCUACUUCCAUCAAAAUCAGAUAGUAAAAUUCAUAAGUAGUUAAAAACUGUAAGAAUCAAUAAUAACUAACUUUAGCUUGUGAAGCAACAAAAUGACAUAAGCUGACACAGAUGGGAAAACAUUAGCAAGCUUGCAAGCAGUCAACAAAGCAUCUUGAACUCUAGCAAUCUGGUAAGUGUUUGAAGUUAAAUACAUUAGCUUAAGCCAUCAAUAUUUUUGAGGUAUUGAGAAGGAAAUAAAAGGAAAGCUUUCGAUGGUGCAAACACUAACAAUGAAAAUGAAGGAGGCCAUAUAACAAUGAUUUUAGGAAGACUUAAAAAAAAACUUUCUUUUAUAACUUUUCAAAGUAAAUUUUUUUUUAAUUUCAAUCUUGUGGGAAAGCAAAAACUAUAUAUGUAGUAAUCCAUAAUAUAUGCAUAUACUUGAGAGAGUGCUUUUAGUUGGAGUGGGAAACCAAUAAUAACAAGUAAUGAGAUUUCUAUCAAUCAAAUCAUCCCCUUUGAAGGCAUUGUAAUAACAAAAUCUGCAGUAUAUCAUCACUAGGAAUGAUAAAAAAAUGAAAAAUCAAAACUCAAAAGACAUACCCUUAAUCAUAAGCUUGUGGAAGUUUAAAGUAGCUUAUUCCAAACAUAGCAGCAACCAGCUGUUAUUGACUUAAAAGGAUAUGCCAAAAAGCUGCAAUUAGAUACUAAUAUUUUACCCUUGAGUGCAUAUAAAUCUUUUUUUUUUUACAAUUUAUUGCAUAAAGCUUGUGGAAGUUUAAAGUAGCUUAUUCCAAACAUAGCAGCAACUAGUUGUUAUCGACUUAAAAGGAUAUGCCAAAAAGCUGCAAUUAGAUACUAAUAUUUUACCCUUGAGUGCAUAUAAAUCUCUUUUUUACAAUUUAUUGCAUAACAUUUCCGAGUCCUAGACUCGUUAAUCCACAAUUGGCCCCUAAGGCUUGUUUUCAAUUCCUUUAACAUAACAUUUCAAACAUAUCGAUAUCAAAACAUUCUAUUAUCAAUCAAAUUUCCAAGUUACCAUUUAUAAUGUCAAUUAAUUCAUUCAUUCUAGGGUCCUUCGACUUGUUUGAAUCCACUUCAGCCCCUAAGGCUCAGUUUCAUUUGAUUUACAUACUUUGUCAUAUGGUUACUACAUUUAGUUUACAUUUAAUCACCGAACAUAUUAAUAAAAUCCUAAUAACCUAACUUGGAUUUUCAAAACAGAUACUCGAAUUAGUCAAUCUGCAUCUCAAACUGACACUGUAAUGUAUCAUCCGCAAAAUAUCUUAAUAAAACCAGACAUCAAAAGAAGCAAGUGUUCCUUCCCGUCCCUUGCUUUACCCCCAUUUUUACUCUGAGAAUAUCUUAAUAGUUUUGGUUCUCAUUUAUGUCAAACAUCUCAAUGAAAAAUAGUUAGAUUGUUAUAAACCAACAAAUGAUAGCAUAUGAAAAACCCAUACAUACCAGUAUGAAGAUAAAUCUCUCGAUUCAUCUACUUCAUGCUUUCAACAGCCAGACAUGAAAGUGAACAAUUGACCGCUUUCAACAUGCAAGCGCCAUUAAUAGAAAUACAGUUUAAAUUGUAUAGCCAUUGCAACCUUGCUAGCUUUGAACAAACUAAUUCAGUGGUGUACACACCUUUGAAAAGAAUUGGAAACUUCAAUUUAACUGGAAUAUAUAAAUAUUUACCCCAGAAAAGAGGAUAAGAAACUUUAAUCGAGUUUGCAAAAAAGGAGAUUUAUAUGCAUACCCUUGCUUGCUAACAUUGAAAAUAUAUGAAAAUGAUUGAAAUUCCUCCAAAACCCAUAGGUUAAACAAAGAAGAAAUAAAUUGUUCUCAAAUAAAAGAACAACUUACCUGAUAUUUUACACUCUGAUGAAGCAAAUGAGUAACCUCCAAAACAGAAAAGCGAUUCAAGUCAAAUGUAUGUUAGCUCGACAAUAAAUCUUAACCGUGUCUGCUGAUUCUUUUGAGGGAAAUUUAGGGAUUAGAAGAAAUUAGAGAAUUGGGGAAAUCUGUUUUGGGUUGGGGGGAAUAGGUGUCGGGCAUGAGAAAGAAGCAAACAUUUCAAGGAAAAUGACACCGUUCAAGGUAAACAAUU